rnacentral:rRNA from 1 species
GACGAACGCUGGCGGCGUGCCUAAUACAUGCAAGUAGAACGCUGAAGGAGGAGCUUGCUUCUCUGGAUGAGUUGCGAACGGGUGAGUAACGCGUAGGUAACCUGCCUGGUAGCGGGGGAUAACUAUUGGAAACGAUAGCUAAUACCGCAUAAUAGUAGAUGUUGCAUGACAUUUGCUUAAAAGGUGCAAUUGCAUCACUACCAGAUGGACCUGCGUUGUAUUAGCUAGUUGGUGAGGUAACGGCUCACCAAGGCAACGAUACAUAGCCGACCUGAGAGGGUGAUAGGCCACACUGGGACUGAGACACGGCCCAGACUCCUACGGGAGGCAGCAGUAGGGAAUCUUAGGCAAUGGACGGAAGUCUGACCGAGCAACGCCGCGUGAGUGAAGAAGGUUUUCGGAUCGUAAAGCUCUGUUGUAAGAGAAGAACGAGUGUGAGAGUGGAAAGUUCACACUGUGACGGUAUCUUACCAGAAAGGGACGGCUAACUACGUG